AGUGAACGCUGGCGGUAGGCCUAACACAUGCAAGUCGAACGGCAGCACAGUAAGAGCUUGCUCUUACGGGUGGCGAGUGGCGGACGGGUGAGGAAUACAUCGGAAUCUACUUUUUCGUGGGGGAUAACGUAGGGAAACUUACGCUAAUACCGCAUACGACCUACGGGUGAAAGCAGGGGAUCUUCGGACCUUGCGCGAUUGAAUGAGCCGGUGUCGGAUUAGCUAGUUGGCGGGGUAAAGGCCCACCAAGGCGACGAUCCGUAGCUGGUCUGAGAGGAUGAUCAGCCACACUGGAACUGAGACACGGUCCAGACUCCUACGGGAGGCAGCAGUGGGGAAUAUUGGACAAUGGGCGCAAGCCUGAUCCAGCCAUACCGCGUGGGUGAAGAAGGCCUUCGGGUUGUAAAGCCCUUUUGUUGGGAAAGAAAAGCAGCAGGUGAAAACCCCGCUGUUCUGACGGUACCCAAAGAAUAAGCACCGGCUAACUUCGUG
rnacentral:rRNA from 1 species